GAACUAACAGAUUUACUUCGGUAAUGACGUUAGGAAAGCGAGCGGCGGAUGGGUGAGUAACACGUGGGGAACCUGCCCCAUAGUCUGGGAUACCACUUGGAAACAGGUGCUAAUACCGGAUAAGAAAGCAGAUCGCAUGAUCAGCUUUUAAAAGGCGGCGUAAGCUGUCGCUAUGGGAUGGCCCCGCGGUGCAUUAGCUAGUUGGUAAGGUAAAGGCUUACCAAGGCGAUGAUGCAUAGCCGAGUUGAGAGACUGAUCGGCCACAUUGGGACUGAGACACGGCCCAAACUCCUACGGGAGGCAGCAGUAGGGAAUCUUCCACAAUGGACGCAAGUCUGAUGGAGCAACGCCGCGUGAGUGAAGAAGGUUUUCGGAUCGUAAAGCUCUGUUGUUGGUGAAGAAGGAUAGAGGUAGUAACUGGCCUUUAUUUGACGGUAAUCAACCAGAAAGUCACGGCUAACUACGUGCCAGCAGCCGCGGUAAUACGUAGGUGGCAAGCGUUGUCCGGAUUUAUUGGGCGUAAAGCGAGCGCAGGCGGAAGAAUAAGUCUGAUGUGAAAGCCCU
rnacentral:rRNA from 1 species